rnacentral:rRNA from 1 species
UGGGGAAUAUUGGACAAUGGGCGCAAGCCUGAUCCAGCCAUGCCGCGUGAGUGAUGAAGGCCUUAGGGUUGUAAAGCUCUUUUGUCCGAGACGAUAAUGACGGUACCGGAAGAAUAAGCCCCGGCUAACUUCGUG